rnacentral:rRNA from 1 species
GUGGGGAAUAUUGGACAAUGGGCGCAAGCCUGAUCCAGCCAUGCCGCGUGAGUGAUGAAGGCCUUAGGGUUGUAAAGCUCUUUCACCGAUGAAGAUAAUGACGGUAGUCGGAGAAGAAGCCCCGGCUAACUUCGUGCCAGCAGCCGCGGUAAUACGAAGGGGGCUAGCGUUGUUCGGAUUUACUGGGCGUAAAGCGCACGUAGGCGGUUUGUUAAGUCAGAGGUGAAAUCCCGGAGCUCAACUCCGGAACUGCCUUUGAUACUGGCAAGCUAGAGUCCGGAAGAGAUAAGUGGAACUCCUAGUGUAGAGGUGGAAUUCGUAGAUAUUAGGAAGAACACCAGUGGCGAAGGCGGCUUACUGGUCCGGAACUGACGCUGAGGUGCGAAAGCGUGGGGAGCAAACAGGAUUAGAAACCCUUGUCC